UUAGCAACUGACGCUUUUUCUUGGUAACAUUUUAGUGCUGUUUAUAGCGGUGGAAUAUCACAUUCAUAAUUCUGCCUCUGUUCCAAGCUGUGAGUUCACAAAAUGAAACCCCCUGUAGACUGAUGCUUGGUUCUUUUGAUCAUGAACAUGCUAUAACUAAUGUAAUAAAUAUAUUUUUAGACAACUAUAAAAAUUGCUCUAAGAAACUAAUAGAAAUUAUUUUUCAGCCAAGUAGAAAAGUCAUGGUCUUAAAAAUAGGUAUGCAGGUUUUGUCAUUUUGUUCUUCUGUGCCUUUGUGCAACUGAACUUUAUUCAUACUGAGAUUCCUUCAAUCAUCAUUCUUUUGCAGUCUAGUAUAUUUUUAAAAUGUUGCACACAAGUAACAGUAGAAGCGAGAACGUGCAUUCACAAACUUCUGCUCCAAAGAUCAGUGCAGUGGGGUGCUAGACCAAAAUAGAUUUUGAGAGAAGUCUGUAUUGGCUUUACUGGGACAGAAGAGAGAGGAGGACCACACAUCUAGCAAAGAAAUUAAAAGCUGGAGAUACAUAGUGGAAUACAGGUUUGACUAGUCUGAAAUGUAGUAGGACUGUGGCAGAGUAGCCUAGGAACUUGUUGAGUGGACAGAACUAGUCAGUAGUGUGGAUUUUCUCAUAAUUGAACUCUACAUCUAGCCACCUUUGCUCUUUAUAUUCAUACUGUCAGUAUAGUGUGUUGGAAGAGUAGAAAGUCCAAAGUUUAACUUAGUAAAUUUACUAACUUUUACUUGCAAGAAUGUAAAGUGAAAUGGGCAAAACCAUUCCAAGUUAGUGUGUCUUCCAGUUGCUUUGCAUUUUAGAAUAGUCUGCUGCUGCUUAAUCAUUCCUUCUUUUAAGAUUUGUAAUUAGUUGUAUUUAUAAAUAUUAUACUAGUGUGUCCAUUUAAAAUUAUUUUUUCUAAAUAAUUGUUAGCUUAACAUUUGGGCAAAGGAGGAAAAUCCUUUAACCCAGUGGUUCUCAAACUGUUUUACUGGUGACCCCUUUCACACAGCUAGCCUCUGAGUGUGACCGCCCCCCUUAUAAAUUAAAAAGACUCCUAAAAAAUAUUUAACACUAUUAUAAAUGCUGGAGGUGAAGCAGGGUUUGGAGUGGAGGCUGACAGCAUGCGACCCCCCACAUAAUAACCUCACGAUCCCCAGUUUGAGAACCCCUGCUUAACCAUUUAUACGUAUGCACUGUAAUGCUUCAGAAUGGGUGCAUAAUUUUAUUAGAAAGUCUAGUGAUAAGUGUUGCAUAAUACAGAAUUGGUUCCGAAAUAAGGAAAUAAUCAUUCUGUACUGCUUCUCUGUGUCCCUAUCCACGUACAGGGAAGAAUUCCAAAGUAAAUGAUCAAACUGCCUCUUUCUGCCAGCAGUAUAUGGAAAGACAAAGUCCUCUACUAAAGAUUUUUCUUCAUGUGGCUGUUGUGUUUAAAUCUGACGAGAAGAGUGGCACCUGGGAAAAAGCUAGGAGCAAUGUAGAACUGUUUCUAUUUUUACCUCCAAAUACUUAAGACUGCUCUUCCUCUUGCUUCAUUGGCCUUGGUUACAAUAAUCCAGAGCAGUGUCAUCAAAAAUUUAGCUUAAGCAGCAUAAAUAUCUCCAGUUCCACUGGUCUAACAGCAGAUUUUGGUCUUCCUUGUUUCAUUCUGAAGUUGGCUGGAGUCAGUAUUAAGGAUGAAAUGAAAUGUAGACUUUUAGAAAAGAUGAUAAUUUGAUAAUGACUUCAUAAGGAAACUUGAAGUUUCACUUGUCUAGUAUUAACUUUUCACCUCCUAGGCUUUGUGCUGUGUGGUUGUGAGACUGAGUGAAUCUUGCCACUUUCCUUUUAAGUUCUUUAGUGCCUUCAGCUAGCUGUUCGGUCACUCCCUUAUUAGUAAUGAGAAAACCUUUGUCACAGGUUUUGGUGGCCAAUGUAACAUAAAGAUGGUCAUCUCAUCUGCUUUCCAGCUGUCCCACCACAAGUGAAAUCCUUGUUACCAAUCUUGACAGAGAUCAAGGAUAGAAUAAGUACAGGAGACUGAUCUACCUCAUUAGCUCAGGAUGGAUCCAUGAGUCUGUUCCAAUAUGGAAAUUCCACUUGCCCUUCUGACAAGUCAUCUCAAAAUCCCCAUAAUGCAUCUUGUCAAAGACCUGUGCCAUAAGUAUUGGAUCAUUUCAUAACAGGGAUGCCUUAGAAGAUUUAAUUGAUUAUUUUACCUUUGUUACCACCACUCAGUUUAACAUUCUGGGGCAGUGGGUAGCUCCCCCUGUAUCUAUCCACCAUUUCUCUUAUUUCAAUGCAGUGUCCCUCAUGUCUCCACUAUAGGGUGGUGAGGAUGUCGAUGAAAGCCUCUCAUCUUCUGAACUCUCUUAACAGCAAGCGUCAAUUAAUGUAAAUCAAAAUGAUAUAUUUAUUUACACACUUUUUUUGUUUAGAUUUGCAUGAUACCUGAUACACCUAUCUAAGGCCCUAAGCACUUGUAUCAUAAAGUCAUCAUCACUUUCCUCUAGAUCUUCUUGAAAGCACCUGUGUCUUAGAUCUCUUCAGGAUUUAUAGCGAUCUGCCACUUACUUCAUAGAGCUACCCUCUCCCCCCCACCGAUGCUUGAUUACUUGCAUUCAUCAGUAUAUUUGCUUUUUUAGGCUUCAUAGUUUGCACAAGAAUGUAAUUCUUCUAUUGUUGGUACCAAGUACAACCACCUAAGCCAGGACUCUGCUAUGCACUUGAAGAUCUGCUGAUGUCUCCUGGGAAAUCUAAACUCUAAAUAACAACAUUUCUACUAAUGGAUCAUAUUUCCCAUUUUAUUACUAUUAAGGACAUUUUUAUGAGAACAAAUUGUAGGCUGUGUUCAUCUGUAUGUCCAUCACCUUAAGUCAUAAUCAGGGAUCCUAGUUUUUUGUGAUUUAACAGCCCCCGACCCCCCCCCUUCCAUCUGAUACAGCAUAAAAAUCCAUGUUUUUCCACAAUUAAAAUGAAACACUGUAUUUUAGUUUUCUUAGUCACUACAUAUAUACACACACAAAUAUCAAUUGUACGUGUUUUAUUGAUAUAUUUACAGUUUUAAGCAAGUUUGAAGCCUACCAGUGCCAUCAGUCAUUAUAAUAAAAUUAAUAGAAUGAACCAGACACAAUGUAUUGUUUUUUGCUGCUGUUGAUGGCCAUGCUGUUUUAGCCUCCUUGUUUUCUUUAGUUUUCAUUCAGUUUAGUGCUUUCCAUGUGUUCUACAGUUGUCUGCCUUCAAACGUAAUGUACAGAACAGCAUAUUACUAUCAACAUGAAAUUUGACCUCACCAAACUCAGUGAAAUGGUCUUUAGGGGUGACUUUUACAAAUAUUAUUUCUUUUAUCUUUUUUACAGUGCAAAUAUUUGUAAUAAAAAACAAUAUAAAAUGAGCACUGUACAUGCUGUAUUCUGUGUUGUAAUUGGAAUCAAUAUAUUUGAAAAUGUAGAAAAACAUCAAAAUAUUUUUAUAAAUUUAAAUUAUUUUAUUAACAGUGUGAUUAAUCAUGACUAUUUUUUAAUCUAGUUAAUUUGUUUUGCGUUGCUCGCAUGCAUUAACUGAGAUUGUUGGCAGCCCUAAUGUGCUAAUUUUUCAUAAAAUAUAAAAAAAUAAAGGUUCUCUGUAAAAACACAAAUGCUGUGUUUUUUCCAUUGCAAACUGAUUUCUAGACUCCCUAGUCAUAAUGCUCUUCUUGGCAGCACAGUUAGUUGUUGUGGAGGAAUUUGAUAUUACUUAUAAAGGGACUGUGGCUUGCUUCAGGAACUUAAAUAUCACAGUGAUGGCUGCCUUCAAAUACUUUUGAUAAAGAUGACUGAAGAAAAAUGGAGAAGAAAAUAGAAAACAUGUCUGAAUCACCUCUAAACAGAACAUUUUUUCAUGAAGCACUAAUGACCGAAGGUGUGCUCUAAAUGACACACCUGUGGUGGCAUCUUGUUUAUGCAACAGAUGAUAUCUUUCAGGCUGAGUUAGCAUGUACUUUCUGAUCACCUGACAAUGCUUGAAUACCUUAAUUUCCUACAGUUAAAAAAAACUACAUAAUAUGACCAGAUGGAGCAGCAACUGUACACGUGCCUUGUAGUCUCAGUUAAAAAAAUCAGCCAAAUCAGGGUGUGCAUUCCUAGACCAUUACUGUGUAGCUUGACUGUAUUAUAUUUGACAAGGACUUUGGACCUAUGCACCAAUGGUUCAUUCACACAUGGCAUAGUAUUAUAAAAAUUACAAAACAUG